GAUGAACGCUGGCGGCGUGCCUAAUACAUGCAAGUCGAGCGAACGGACGAGAAGCUUGCUUCUCUGAUGUUAGCGGCGGACGGGUGAGUAACACGUGGAUAACCUACCUAUAAGACUGGGAUAACUUCGGGAAACCGGAGCUAAUACCGGAUAAUAUUUUGAACCGCAUGGUUCAAAAGUGAAAGACGGUCUUGCUGUCACUUAUAGAUGGAUCCGCGCUGCAUUAGCUAGUUGGUAAGGUAACGGCUUACCAAGGCAACGAUGCAUAGCCGACCUGAGAGGGUGAUCGGCCACACUGGCACUGAGACACGGUCCAGACUCCUGCGGGAGGCAGCAGUAGGGAAUCUUCCGCAAUAGGCGAAAACCUGACGGAGCAACGCCGCGUGAGUGAUGAAGGUCUUCGGAUCGUAAAACUCUGUUAUUAGGGAAGAACAUAUGUGUAAGUAACUGUGCACAUCUUGACGGUACCUAAUCAGAAAGCCACGGCUAACUACGUG
rnacentral:rRNA from 1 species